ensembl:snRNA U6 U6 spliceosomal RNA
GUGCUCUCUUCGGCAGCACAUAUACAGAGAAGAUUAGCAUGGCCCUACGCAAGGAUGACAUGCAAAUUCGUGAAACGUUCCAUAUUUAU